rnacentral:rRNA from 1 species
UUUUCCUACGGGAGGCAGCAGUGGGGAAUAUUGCACAAUGGGGGAAACCCUGAUGCAGCAACGCCGCGUGAGUGAAGAAGUAUCUCGGUAUGUAAAGCUCUAUCAGCAGGGAAGAAAAUGACGGUACCUGACUAAGAAGCCCCGGCUAACUACGUGCCAGCAGCCGCGGUAAUACGUAGGGGGCAAGCGUUAUCCGGAUUUACUGGGUGUGAAGGGAGCGUAGACGGUGCAGCAAGUCUGAUGUGAAAGGUCGGGGCCCAACCCCGGGACUGCAUUGGAAACUGUUGAACUGGAGUACAGGAGAG